UCCCUCUUAGCUCAGUUGGUAGAGCGCGUCACUAGUAAUGACGAGGUCAGUCGUUCAAAUCGGCUAGAGGGAA
rnacentral:tRNA from 1 species